rnacentral:lncRNA from 1 species
UGAGGCCAUCUUCCAUUAGAGGACAGUGGUAAGAGCUAUUGCUAAUUAUGUCACAGACAUCAGAGAAAAGUUGCUGAAAGAGGGACUCUCAGUGCCCGGAAGAUGGUGUAGGAAGAUGUUGAUUCUUCUCAAGUCACCAGCUGCAGCAUCGUGUGGUUUUGGUUUCUGCUGCAGAAACUGCUCCUGCUGGUGAUGGAGUGAGCACAAAGAGCGGACGGAGCUGCUGCUGCCCAGAAUGUGAGCCCCAAAGGACCUCGUUGGCUCGAGGAGGAGAUAUUUGCUCACACCAGCAUAACCUCUCUCCACUGUCAGUAUUUCCUUUGGUCGUGCUGGGACUUCUGAGGACAGCCCGGGCUGUUUGAGGACAUCCUGGGCUCAAGCCAUUUGCUCCUGAAUGAAGAUGCUCUUGAUGGACCGUUUUGUUCUUUGCAGCAGCAGGAAUGAGCCUGGAAGGGAUGGCAAAAUUCAUGGGUGUCAGUCACUGGUAUGAUGGAAGACGGAUCCUGUCAGAAACAUGUCCAUCUGGUCUGGUUGGCCAAGACAUUUACAGGGUAAUUUUUAAUUCAUUACUGUGUGACAUUUACAUCUUUUGUAACUAAAAAGAGUUCUAAAGGAUCAGAUCUAAAACCUGUUGAAGUGUACCGAAGUCUCUAAUUGACUGCAGUAGGCUCUGAACCAAGCCUUGAAGUGACUGUUAAUUUGGAACCCUCUAAAGGGGUGAUGUAAGUGGUGGUGAAAUACAGGUUGGAGGAAGAUGAUGG